AUUGAACGCUGGCGGCAGGCCUAACACAUGCAAGUCGAACGAGUGGCGGACGGGUGAGUAAUGUCUGGGAAACUGCCUGAUGGCGGGGGAUAACUACUGGACACGGUAGCUAAUACCGCAUACCAUCGGAUGUGCCCAGAUGGGAUUAGCUCGUAGGUGGGGUAAAGGCUCACCUAGGCGACGAUCCCUAGCUGGUCUGAGAGUGUGACCAGCCACACUGGAACUGAGACACGGUCCAUACUCCCACGGGAUGCAGCAGUGGGGAAUAUGUCACAAUGGGCGCAAGCCUGAUGCAGCCAUGCCGCGUGUAUGAAGAAGGCCUUCUGGUUGUAAAGUACUUUCAGCGGGGAGGCGUUACCCGCAGAAGAAGCACCGGCUAACUCCGUGCCAGCAGCCGCGGUAAUUC
rnacentral:rRNA from 1 species